UUUUAUUUGAGAGUUUGAUCCUGGCUCAGGAUGAACGCUGGCGGCGUGCCUAACACAUGCAAGUUGAGCGAUUUACUUCGGUAAAGAGCGGCGGACGGGUGAGUAACGCGUGGGUAACCUACCCUGUACACACGGAUAACAUACCGAAAGGUAUGCUAAUACGGGAUAAUAUAUUUGAGAGGCAUCUCUUAAAUAUCAAAGGUGAGCCAGUACAGGAUGGACCCGCGUCUGAUUAGUUAGUUGGUAAGGUAACGGCUUACCAAGGCGACGAUCAGUAGCCGACCUGAGAGGGUGAUCGGCCACAUUGGAACUGAGACACGGUCCAAACUCCUACGGGAGGCAGCAGUGGGGAAUAUUGCACAAUGGGCGAAAGCCUGAUGCAGCAACGCCGCGUGAGUGAUGAAGGCCUUCGGGUCGUAAAGCUCUGUCCUCAAGGAAGAUAAUGACGGUACUUGAGGAGGAAGCCCCGGCUAACUACGUGCCAGCAGCCGCGGUAAUACGUAGGGGGCUAGCGUUAUCCGGAUU
rnacentral:rRNA from 1 species